UCGGAGGAAAAGAAACCAACAGGGAUUGCCUCAGUAACGGCGAGUGAAGCGGCAAAAGCUCAAAUUUGAAAUCCUUCGGGAGUUGUAAUUUGUAGGUUGGGAGACCCCGCGGCUAGUGGCACCAAGUCCCUUGGAACAGGGCGCCUUAGAGGGUGAGAGCCCCGUAGGUACCACAAUACCGUCUUGUGUCUCCUCUCCAAAGAGUCGAGUUGUUUGGGAAUGCAGCUCAAAGUGGGUGGUAAAUUCCAUCUAAAGCUAAAUACCGGCGAGAGACCGAUAGCGAACAAGUACAGUGAUGGAAAGAUGAAAAGCACUUUGAAAAGAGAGUGAAACAGUACGUGAAAUUGUUGAAAGGGAAGGGCUUGCAAGCAGACACGGCCUUCGUGCCGGGCCAGCAUCGGUUGCUAGGGGUGGAUAAGGAACAAGGAAUGUAGCUCCUCGGAGUAUUAUAGCCUUGCGCGAUACACCCACUGGCGACCGAGGCCUGCGGUAUUCUUACCUACUACAAUGCGAG
rnacentral:rRNA from 1 species